rnacentral:rRNA from 1 species
GACUAAGCGUACACGGUGGAUGCCCUGGCAGUCAGAGGCGAUGAAGGACGUGCUAAUCUGCGAUAAGCGCCGGUAAGGUGAUAUGAACCGUUAUAACCGGCGAUUUCCGAAUGGGGAAACCCAGUGUGAUUCGUCACACUAUCAUUAACUGAAUCCAUAGGUUAAUGAGGCGAACCGGGGGAACUGAAACAUCUAAGUACCCCGAGGAAAAGAAAUCAACCGAGAUUCCCCCAGUAGCGGCGAGCGAACGGGGAGGAGCCCAGAGCCUGAAUCAGCAUGUGUGUUAGUGGAAGCGUCUGGAAAGGCGCGCGAUACAGGGUGACAGCCCCGUACACAAAAGCGCAUGUGCUGUGAGCUCGAUGAGUAGGGCGGGACACGUGGUAUCCUGUCUGAAUAUGGGGGGACCAUCCUCCAAGGCUAAAUACUCCUGACUGACCGAUAGUGAACCAGUACCGUGAGGGAAAGGCGAAAAGAACCCCGGCGAGGGGAGUGAAAAAGAACCUGAAACCGUGUACGUACAAGCAGUGGGAGCCCCACCACUAAGCCAGUGGUGAACUCCACAUACGCAUCCUUUGCUGAGGAUACGGUUAACGGAGCGAAAGCGACGUUCAACCGCAAAAGAAGCAGAGGGGGCUUAGUGGUGGGGUGACUGCGUACCUUUUGUAUAAUGGGUCAGCGACUUAUAUUCUGUAGCAAGGUUAACCGCAUAGGGGAGCCG